GGUAAUAGAGGAUUAAUGGCUGGUAUCAUUAAGCCUUUGUGUCAGUAGUCAGAGUAGAAACAGAAACCACGCCAGGUGGUUUCAGCUGAGAGAAUUUAAUCUAAGGAAUGGGUUGAGCACAGAGAUAGUAACUGCAGGAAGCGAGCUGGGAGUUGGAAGGGGAGAGGCCGGUGUUAUUAGAGUUUAGAAGCUGGAAGGAGGGACCCUGCAGAGCUGGGAUUCAGAUGACCAAGGACAGGUCACUGCCCAACUGAUGCUGGCACCUUGGCCAGGGUGCAUUGAGGCUGAUAGAAAGAUGCUGGCCUGGAACCAACUAGUUAAAGGCCAUUGCUCAGCUGACACAAACACAGCAAGCAGAAGGAAUGACCAGUGUCUUCCAGGAUCCUCCCGCCUCCCAGCACCCCCACCUGGUUGACAAAGGAGAACAGCAGUUUGCAGAGUCCCAGUCCCAGCAUCACCAGGCAGAGCUUUAAAGGCUGGGGCGGGGCUGAGGGACGACUGCAUGGCUUUCCAACGUGAUGCACCAACUGCUCCCUGGGCGUGUUCCUGCCACUGGGAGCAGGUACUCAAGUUCCUGGGGAAGCACCAGAGUUACAUCAUCCAGCAAAGAAGAGGGCAGCCCUGUCCCGCCUGCUUUCGUGGUUGCCACAGGCUGAGCCAGGAGCUCCUGGAGGCAUGAGAGAGCAGAAUGUUUCCACAUGAGUCAUGCCCAUCCCAGACACUCCACCCGAACCACAGAGGGAGCAGAGCGGGGCUUGGCGUCCCGAAUGCAUUUCUUGAUUCCCAGACUUAAACUGGGCCGGGCCCGAACGGCAUUGAAUUCCAAACCUGCAGUCCCGCCAGCCGCGUCGCCUCAUGACUUCACUCGGCCCGUUGGCUCCCGGCAGUUGGUGUGACACGCUGCUGUCUUUCAGGGCCCUUUGCCGCAUUUUCGCGCCUUCCCACUAAUCCAGCCAGAGGCUCCUGCUCCGUGGCCGCAUCCUUGGCCGGCCCCAUUUGGGAUUGAUUUGGGUGCAACAUCAGCCAGAUUUCAGGCACCUGGCUGGGAUGCGUGUCAGAGGUCCCAUGAGCAACAAGAGCACCCCAGGAUUUUAAGAAAAGCAGAGCCUGCUGCAGUCCAUUUAACCUCGUCCUUUGCCCUGUUAGGUUUGGGCAAAGAAUGGCCCAGGAAGGAGAAGGAGCCCGCCCAAGGGAACACAGCUAGCUGGUGGCGGCGCCAGAGCUAAAACACACCAGUAGCUCUGCUGACUUCCCGACCAGUGAUCUGCAUGCUUCGCAAUGAAUGAUUCAUUAUGUAUCUACUGCAGCGAAUGCCGCUCCUCAGUGCUCGGGCACUGAAGGAAAAUCCAUUAAUGGUCUUUGCUUGGCUAGAUCUCACUCAGGCUUCCAAGCAAACUCCAACCCACCACCUCCGUUAGGACCUCCCUGACCAGGUAGAGUGACAGCGGAGAGAGCACCAGGCCCCGUCAGGGAGGACCUGGCUUUGAGUCUCAGCUCGCCUUCACUGUGCGUGGCCGUGAGCACCUGGCUUCCCCACACGGCCCUCUGAGCAGGCCCUCCAGGGAGCGAGGAGCCAUGGUGAGCGGCUCCCAUCCUCUCUCCCUGGCUUGUUCCUAUUCCCUGGGGAAGUGCCCUCUGAAAUAGGUGCAAAUGGAUGCAAACCUCAUGUAUUCCCCUCAAUGCAGAGACAGUGUAGCUGGGAAAGGCAGGGCCCCUAGUAGAGGAGUGAAAAAUAAGGAAAAUGUAUUUCUGCAUCUCAGUUCUUAGCCAUCCAGGUGUCUAUUCUGGGGUCAGCAGUCUUCCUGAAGGGAGGUGUAGAUUGUCAGCAUAAUCAGACUCACCUGAUAAAAGCAUAGGAUAUUUCAAUUCACAGAAGGGAGCAGAAGCCUUCAGACCAAUCACUGACAUGGAUUUCCACUCCUGCUGCUGCUGGGCAGUCUGCAAUCUGUUUUCUAAGUCCAUGGGGGCUUUACCAGUAGGCCGGAGCUCCGGGGAGAGUUGCGAUGUUCUGGCAGCUGUACCCACAAAAUUCUCAUGUUUUCCAACAUACACAGGGAACUCUGCACACAUCUGCCUUCAGUUUGAAACAGCAGCAGCUGGGGGACAGCUGCUCGGGCCUGGGGUAAUGGAGUCCAUUGCUUCCUGGCAUCCA